GAUGAACGCUGGCGGCGUGCCUAAUACAUGCAAGUCGAGCGAACAGAUGAGAAGCUUGCUUCUCUGAUGUUAGCGGCGGACGGGUGAGUAACACGUGGGUAACCUACCUAUAAGACUGGGAUAACUCCGGGAAACCGGGGCUAAUACCGGAUAAUAUUUUGAACCGCAUGGUUCAAUAGUGAAAGACGGUUUCGGCUGUCACUUAUAGAUGGACCCGCGCCGUAUUAGCUAGUUGGUAAGGUAACGGCUUACCAAGGCGACGAUACGUAGCCGACCUGAGAGGGUGAUCGGCCACACUGGAACUGAGACACGGUCCAGACUCCUACGGGAGGCAGCAGUAGGGAAUCUUCCGCAAUGGGCGAAAGCCUGACGGAGCAACGCCGCGUGAGUGAUGAAGGUCUUCGGAUCGUAAAACUCUGUUGUUAGGGAAGAACAAAUUUGUUAGUAACUGAACAAGUCUUGACGGUACCUAACCAGAAAGCCACGGCUAACUACGUGCCAGCCGCCGCGGUAA
rnacentral:rRNA from 1 species